rnacentral:precursor_RNA from 1 species
GGAAGUUAUGAUCGCUGGAGUGUCUUCGUCUCGGUAGUUUUCAUGUUUUGACCGAUGGAUCGCUGGAGUGUCUUCGUCUCGGAGGACCUGGAUGUUUGAUGGAGUAACAUGGUGUUUAUUGUGGGGUGCUCAGCUUUCAGUUAGCAUCUUGCCGUGGUCUGCUUUCUUAUCAGUGAGUUGGACGUCAUGAAGAUGUUCUGUAUUGUUGGCUUACUCACUGCCGGCUCCUUACUUUGAAGUAAGACGAGUUUCGGAUCAGAUGAUGAUCUAUUCUGAUUGGAGAUAAUUCAGCUUCCCGUCCUAUGGUUAUAUGGUUUGGAGCGUAGCUUUAUCUUAUUGUUUUGAGCCUUCCGAGUUUUUGCAGUAAUGUGAUUGCAUCUGUGAUGUGAGGGAUGUUUUCUGGAUGUAGGCGGCUGUUGUUUAUUGCUGUGAUCGUUUGGAUCGUUUCCUUUGACCAUGGAUCAUGGCCUUGGGCGUACGGAAACGGAGGGCGCUUUUAUAGUGAUGUUAUUGCAUUUGUGAUGCGAGGGGUGUGUUCUGAAUGUAGGUGGUUUUUGGUCUUUGGUCUGAUCGUUUUGAUAGUUUCUUUUGACGUUUGAUGAUGGCCUUGGGCGUCCGGCAACGAAGGGUGCUAUGCAAAAUCAUGUUUAUGAUCAUUGAUGGUGUAUGGGAACCCAGGACAUGGUUUACAUUAUCUUGGGGUCCUAUAAGUCAUCAACGAUCGUAAAUUGGUGUCACUUGUUUCUUCGAUGAUUGGUUUAGUUUGUUACGGUGUGGUAAAUUUCCCGGUUUCGAUAUCUCCGCUCAAGCAUGUGACCGCGAAGGGAUGUGUUUGGAAACUUUCAUGUCAGUUUCAAGGCGAUGUAUGGGAAUCAAUUCUUAUCUUGCGGUGGAUAACUUCUCUUCGACUUAGCGAACGACUUAGCGAAGAGUUUUCUUAUUGGUGCAUCUUGCUGUGGCAAAUCUGCUCGAUUUAGUUCGUGCAGUACUUCGUAUCAGCAUUCUGUGAGAUUGGAUUCGACGGUAUGCUUGUAAUCAGCUUCUCCCGAUCUGUUUCUAAUGGUGGGAAGAGGUUCAUUGAUUUGUUUCUAUCGUGCGGCUCCAGAAAAUUUGUUCCACCCCUAUUCCG